rnacentral:rRNA from 1 species
UACGUAGGGUGCAAGCGUUAAUCGGAAUUACUGGGCGUAAAGCGUGCGCAGGCGGUUCGCUAAGACAGAUGUGAAAUCCCCGGGCUUAACCUGGGAACUGCAUUUGUGACUGGCGGGCUAGAGUACGGCAGAGGGGGGUAGAAUUCCACGUGUAGCAGUGAAAUGCGUAGAGAUGUGGAGGAAUACCGAUGGCGAAGGCAGCCCCCUGGGCCAAUACUGACGCUCAUGCACGAAAGCGUGGGGAGCAAACAGG